rnacentral:tmRNA from 1 species
GGGGCUGAUUCUGGAUUCGACGGGAUUUGCGAAACCCAAGGUGCAUGCCGAGGGGCGGUUGGCCUCGUAAAAAGCCGCAAAAAAUAGUCGCAAACGACGAAAACUACGCUUUAGCAGCUUAAUAACCUGCUUAGAGCCCUCUCUCCCUAGUCUCCGCUCUUAGGACGGGGAUCAAGAGAGGUCAAACCCAAAAGAGAUCGCGUGGAAGCCCUGCCUGGGGUUGAAGCGUUAAAACUUAAUCAGGCUAGUUUGUUAGUGGCGUGUCCGUCCGCAGCUGGCAAGCGAAUGUAAAGACUGACUAAGCAUGUAGUACCGAGGAUGUAGGAAUUUCGGACGCGGGUUCAACUCCCGCCAGCUCCACCA